AGAAAUAUGAGUAUGAAAUAAUACUUGCCUUCAAACAGUCAGAGAGAGAGAGAGAGAGAGCGAGAGAGCGAGAGAGAAUGAAUAUAAAAGAAUCAAGUGCUCUUCACUCUCUGAUUUAUAUCACUUCAGGAAGAAAGAAGCCUUUUUGUCUCUUUAUCAAGCCUACAGUCAUGGAAUGUGUAUAUGCUUUUUUUUUUUUUUUGAGUACUGGGGAUUGAACUCAGGACCUUGCACCUCAGAACCACUGAGCUAAAUCCCCGGCCCAGUGUACAUGGUUUCUUCAGUUUCAGCCCUUGUGAUUGCCAUUCAACAGAAGUUGCUUAUACCAUGGUCAUCUUUCUUUGUAACCAAACCUUUUGCUUGUGAUUUUGCUCUCCUAAGUGUUAAUCAUUUGUGGCACCAACAACAGCACUAGUAGUUUCUUGCUUAUCCUGACACGUCACUGACUUCUUUCUUUUUUCUAGCUUUCAGUAUUUCUGGCAAUUCUUUCCUUUGCUACCCUUGGAAAUAAAACAUCUGACAUAGUCACAAGUCAUCAGCCAUGUCUAGAUGACCAUGAAUUCCAUGUACAUAACUGCUAGUAUAACAGAAAUAUGUCCAAUUAACACUGCUAGCAGAAGACUCUCCACUUGAAUGUCUCAAAACCUUAAUAUAAUAAGUAAGAAAUGGUCAAGUAGUACUUUUAAAUGACUUGACCUAAUAGUUACAUUCCCAAACUGGAGUUAAUUGCUUGCUUCAAAACUUCAUUUUCUCCAACUAGCUUACGAAUUACUGAUAGCUCUGGACCUUGAGUUUCUUGGUUUGUUGCAUUGAAAUCAUCUGUAGUGUUCCUUCCUUCUUCCAUCUUUCCAUUUCUCCAGGGAGUGAAAAAGCUUUUAGCUGAUCUUUGAUUUCUUCUUCUAUCUAACCAUGUUAUUCUUGGGGUGUAAUAAUGAAGUUUGCAUGCCCCCUUUUAUAAUCUGAUGUAGGCCCACAAGCAUUGAUGCUUUGCUAAUAUUGGUUUAUUUAUUAUGCCUUCUUUGGAAAAUCCUUUGUGAUUACUUGUUUGAAGUUAAAAAUACUGAUUGGAUACAAGAUUCUUUUUUUUUUUUUUCAGUUUUCAGCAUAUAUCUCCAACCUGCCCUCAGUCUAUAUUUGAGUUUAAUAAAUCACAGUUUAAUUUUACUAAGCUUAAUUUUCUGCUCUGUAAAUUGAGACUAAUAAUAUUAACAAUCUCAUAAGGUUGUGGUUAGGAUUAAUUUAAUACAUGCAAUCCUUAGAAUGAUGCCAGAGUUAUAUCAAACCCUUAUUCAGUGUUAAUUAUGUGGAAAAAAAUUCAUUAUCAUCUCAUGCUGAAGACAAAUUUUUUUUGUAGUUUUCUACUAUUUUUGCAAAAAACCCCCCCCACAAACAACACCCCCAAAUCAACAGCUUUUGAAGGGUUCAUGUUUAAUUCUGGGUCUGUAAAAAACUCUUGGUUGAUUUUUAGUUGUCUUGAUCCAAUUUUAUCCUCUGUAAUGAUAGUACUCUUUAAUGAUGAUUUUUUUAAAAAAACCCUAAAAACAUACAUAUUCUCUAGAAGGUAUUUAGUAUCAAGUAUCCUAAUAAAGAGUUGCUAUGAAGCAAAUCUUUUGCUAAAGGUGAUUCUCAAACUUGAGUUUACUAAAAUGGUCCAAGAAAUAUAGUAAGGGAUUUGCACUGCAGUAAUGUCUUUGAAGUCGUCGCCUGCCUUUAAUUUUUCAGUAAGCGCCUAAUCUCAUUAGAUUUCAUACACCCAGUGUUUGCACUUGCACAAAAGCUGUCCAAACAAAGCCAAAAUGUUGACACCACCGUCCUCUGAUGGCAUUUAGAAUGAAUAUAUUAAACACACUUGCACUAGCAUUGCAUUAAGCUAAGAAAUAAAUUUUGAACUUUGAACUCAGCAGGAUAAAAAGUUUUACUUGAUAGCUGAGCAAUUGUGUUGUGGUAUCAUGGGGGGAAGUCAUUGUGUUGUUCAGAGAAUCCAAAUAUGCAAACAUGCUCUGCAUACAGUAGGCACUGCACAAGUAAAGAAUUAAAGUAAGGAACAGUCCUCAAAUCCUGUUGUUAGGGACAUAAAUGGAAGGUAAAGUGGACUGGUGGAUUUGCUUUGAAAUGCACUGAAUAAACUUUGAUUAAACUCGCUUCAGAGAAAGGCUCUGAAAGAAUACCUUCUAGUAAGUGUGUGAACUAGAGUAUGCUUUACUUCAAUCCACUCUGGUAAUUCACAAAUUUAGGCAUUUUUCUUUAGAAUCUGGAAAUUAUAUUUUUAUUAAAGGUUUGGAAACUGAUGAUUAUAGAGAACAUAAAAGAUAAGACUUCUCUGACUUUUGUCAUAAAAUAAAGAUAGCAACAAGGCUAGAAUUUGGAACCAACUAAAUCUAAUGGCUAGAGCUAUUUAGUGGUUUCUAAGUAGACAGAAGUGAAAGUAAAAGAGUUUCCCCAUAUAUUGUGUAUAAAUGUUUAUAAACCUAUAUAUCUGUAAUAUGAUCAUUAAUUAAGAAAUAUAUACCAAUGAGGAAAAUACCACCCACCAAAAUCCAUUCAUUAAAGUUUGUGCACAUUACUUAUUGAAAAUUUCAUAAUUCCUCAGCCUGAUUUCUUUUACUUUAGACAUUAUUUGCUUGAGUUUUGCUUUUUGGCUUGUGUGAAAGGAUUUCACAAGAAACAUUUUUUGAAAUUUGUUGAUACCAGCUAUUAUCAGAAUAAUGUUGAAGAUAUCUAUGUUAACUUAUUGGUUUUUUGUGGAUAUCAUGAAAAAAGUUCUCUCAGGUCUUCAUAUCAAGAGCAGUAGUAAUUUCUAUGAAUAGCUGGC
rnacentral:lncRNA from 1 species